rnacentral:rRNA from 1 species
AACGAACGCUGGCGGCGUGCUUAACACAUGCAAGUCGAACGAUGAAGCCGGAGCUUGCUCUGGUGAAUUAGUGGCGAACGGGUGAGUAACACGUGAGUAACCUGCCCUUGACUCUGGGAUAACUGCGGGAAACUGUAGCUAAUACCGGAUACGACCCUCGGAGGCAUCUCCUGGGGGUGGAAAGAAUUUCGGUCAAGGAUGGACUCGCGGCCUAUCAGCUAGUUGGUGAGGUAAAGGCUCACCAAGGCAACGACGGGUAGCCGGCCUGAGAGGGUGACCGGCCACACUGGGACUGAGACACGGCCCAGACUCCUACGGGAGGCAGCAGUGGGGAAUAUUGCACAAUGGGCGCAAGCCUGAUGCAGCAACGCCGCGUGAGGGUUGACGGCCUUCGGGUUGUAAACCUCUUUUAGCAGGGAAGAAGCGAAAGUGACGGUACCUGCAGAAAAAGCACCGGCUAACUACGUGCCAGCAGCCGCCGUAA